rnacentral:rRNA from 1 species
CAGUCGCCGCGGUAAUACGAAGGGGGCUAGCGUUGCUCGGAAUGACUGGGCGUAAAGGGCGCGUAGGCGGCGAUCAAAGUCAGGCGUGAAAUUCCUGGGCUCAACCUGGGGGCUGCGUUUGAUACUUGAUUGCUAGAGUGGGGAAGAGGGUCGUGGAAUUCCCAGUGUAGAGGUGAAAUUCGUAGAUAUUGGGAAGAACACCGGUGGCGAAGGCGGCGACCUGGUCCUUGACUGACGCUGAGGCGCGAAAGCGUGGGGAGCAAACAGGAUUAGAUACCCCUGUAGUCCCUGUCUCUUAUAC